ensembl:piRNA 21ur-1425 ncRNA
UCUUCCAGUCAAAAGUGAAAA